CAUUGAUUACGACUUCCCUUCACCACAUUAUUUAGGACUGCGUCGUAGGAGACUGGGACACAUAUCCACUUUGCUGGCUUGAUGAAGUAAACUGCUAAGUUGAGGAAGCCCACAUGGCAAGGAACUGUGGGCAGCCUUCAGCCAACAGGCAGCAAAAAGCUGAGCUCCUCGGAGCUACAGCCUCAAGGAAGUUACUUCUGCUAACAACCUGAAAAAGCUUGGAAGCUAGUUUCUCUCUAGUGGAAUUUUUAGGGAAGAGCAUGGCCCAGGCAAGAUAAAUAAUGAAACUGCAUAUCUUCUGGUUUACAUGAAGAUGGAGUGCUAAUGGAAAUGCCCAAAACCUUCAGAGAUUGACACGCUGUCAUUUUCCAUUUCCAUUCCUGGAUCUACGGAGUCUUCUAAGAGAUUUUGCAAUGAGGAGAAGCAUUGUUUUCAAACUAUAUAACUGAGCCUUAUUUAUAAUUAGGGAUAUUAUCAAAAUAUGUAACCAUGAGGCCCCUCAGGUCCUGAUCAGUCAGAAUGGAUGCUUUCACCAGCAGACCCGGCCAUGUGGCUGCUCGGUCCUGGGUGCUCGCUGCUGUGCGAGACAUUAGCCCUUUAGUUAUGAGCCUGUGGGAACUUCAGGGGUUCCCAGUGGGGAGAGCAGUGGCAGUGGGAGGCAUCUGGGGGCCAAAGGUCAGUGGCAGGGGGUACUUCAGUAUUAUACAACUGCUGUGACCAGACUUGUAUACUGGCCGAAUAUCAGUGCUGUUUGUAAUUUUUCACUUUGAGAACCAACAUUAAUUCCAUAUGAAUCAAGUGUUUUGUAACUGCUAUUCAUUUAUUCAGCAAAUAUUUAUUGAUCAUCUCUUCUCCAUAAGAUAGUGUGAUAAACACAGUCAUGAAUAAAGUUA
rnacentral:lncRNA from 1 species